CGUUGGCCAUCGUCCGCUCCGGGCGACUCGUGUCCGGGCCGGGCUGCGGGGCUGAGGCGGAGUUAGCGGGGCCGUGAGGAGCUGUGCGGCCUUCUGAGGGCCGUUUAACCUACAGCAAGCUGUGCCUGUAAGAGCUGCUCUCAAAGAUGAGACGGAACCCGAAGAUCUGCGAGAGGGCUCUGAGAAAGCAGGAGCAGAAGAAGGAAGGAGUGGGAAUGAAAUGUGGAGGAUCCUGGCUGUGUUUCUUGUUCACACUCAUCUGGUGGUGCAGAAGACUGGACAGUAGGUUUGAACGGCUCCCCCCCAGCAAGAUUUCAGGUAGGGAAUUUUGUCCCAUAGUGUCCAGUGCCAAGCCCCAGGCAGUGGCAGAGAUGGGGACGUGCUGGGGGGACCGUGGCUUUGUGUUGCUGAAGUCUCAGCAUCCUCUUCUUUACUGUAUUCUAGGCCAAGAUUUGCUGGACUCUGCAGGGACAUUGAAUUGCUCCAACCAUAUGGGCAUUGCAGCGUUAAAGGAGAAGAUAUGCCAGCUGAGACAACGCAUACAGAAAGCAAACAACUAUGCUCAGGAUCCACCUGAAGAAAUCAAAGCUAUCUAGCAGCCCAUGUUCCAGAAUUUCCUGCUCUUUGGAAAGAAAGCUUCAGCCAGAAGAAAUCUGGCAUCUGAAAGAUAUUUUCACAGUGUUUGUUUGGUGAUGAAAAUGGCCCCACCAGUCAGAGUGAAGAGGCGAAGUCCUCUAUUCUCCAUUUAUUGUUUCACAUGUGUAAUUUUUUCUGUAAUCUAAAAACACAGCUGUUCAGGUGAAGUUAAUUUAGAUCUUGAAACCUCUGCACUGAGACACUGUAAGGGAUUCAGGGUGAUGUGAUAAGAAAUGCUGAUUUCAGGCACUUGGCUGAGACCCUCUUCAUUCCUUUCCCUCUAACACCAGUUGUCCUCUCAGGAUUGCUGCUGUUUACCUGGUACCCCAGGACAGGGUGUGUGAGAAGGCUCCAUCUGUCCUGCCCAAGCCGUAGGUUUUGAGUGAAUAGACCAAGGAAAGCAGUCAGUUGGCUCUGCUUUGAAAUGUCUGCUUUUUCUCUUGUGUGGGAAGAGGUACACUCUAGAAGGUGGAUUUUGCCCCUUUUGCUCCAAGGCUCCAGAACCUCCCAAGUUCACAAUCUUUGGUCCUUUCUAAGAAAUCAUGAAUCAGCAGAUACUCAACUGCUGAACUGGAAAAGAGGCACAGAUAGAAGGCUGAGUUACCUGUCACAUCUGGUGAUUUUGAGUCCUCACUAGAAAUGAGGCCUCUUGUUUUGGACUCCCUGGCAAUGCUGCCAUCUCAGAAUGUUGGCACUAAUGGCAUCUAACCUGCAGCCCCUGUUUUUAACACACCCGUGCUGUGCAAGCUUCCAGAUGGUACAGAAGAUGAUGUGGAGAGUGAAAACCCCGGCCCUGGUUCCUCUGCCAAGGAGGCUUAAAUGUCUUCUUACAUGGAAAACCUAAGUGAAUAAACAUGGUGCAGGUGCCCAGAUUGUGUGUAGAAACUGUGAUGCCUCAGCAAUGAUUUGUGCCAAAGCUUUGGUUAGUAGGACAGCUGUGCUGCACAGAAGUAGACUGACAUCUCUGAGCUUUUAUCACCACCAAACAGCAGAUUUCUUCACACUGGAAAGUGGGGUCUCCCUUGAAUGGGAGCAGAAGUGAAUGCUUCUCAUCUGGCUUUUAAGUGAAAUAUUGUCCCCUUUGGCCCUUAGAACUGAGUGUUGAAACACUGAAUGUCUGAUUCCCUUUACUUUCUGCAGGAUUGAUCCCCUGUAUCCACUGGAUUCUGUACUUGGGAUGGGUUUGAAGCGACAACAAAAGAGAAGCAACGUAGCAAUUUGUGGUCAGAUCUCCUUGCUUUGUUACUGCCCUCUUAGCAAAUGACUCUGGCACCCUUGCAUCCAACAGCUUGUUAACAGUUCUUGUCAGAAUAGUAAUAUGGGGCAUGUUAGGUGAAGGGCAGGACUGGGCUUUUGAAAGACCCCAACAUGGCCAGGAGGGGAGUGGUAGAAUGAAGUGGGAAGUUGGAUCCAAAAUGUAAUGUUUCAGGCUGGGCAAGAUUCUAUCUUUUACUCCACAUAUGGUAUAAUUUGUCUUAAGAUACCACCCUAUGGAUCAACAAAACGUGGCUGCCCAGCAGGGAUGGAUCUGCUGUUAGGAGUGUACCAAAUCACGUCUAUAAAAGCUUGAGGUAAUCCCUAGGGAAACCUACAGUACAGACUUAAUUGUAUCUCUUAAUUCAUCAGCUGUUAGUAAUUACAUCCUGCAUUUUUGCAAUGGAAAAAAUGAACCAAGCUGGCUACUGAGACUGACAAUAAAUCACAGGAGGGAGAGGAAAUUACAACACAAAUAGAAACAGUCACGUAAACAAUUUUAAUUUGCUACUUAGCUAUUCAUUAAUUAAAUAACACCUUUUAGAAAUGCAGUUUUGAAAAGGCAGCAGUGACACUGAAAGCAGCUCCGGUCAGAUUAGCUGAAACUAAAUCCUCUGGCAUCUCAACAAUAUGCCAUUUUUAAAAGGUUGAUAGUAAGCAGUUCAGCUGGCAGUUAGAGCAGUGCUGACUUCCCCUCCUUGCUGGUAUCAGCUCUGUAGCCCGUGCUUUCAAAUAAUUUAUUACAAGAGCAGUAUUCUUGUUCAGCUCCUCUUUUGAUCCAUUUCUGGGGGGAAUGACAACUGUGCAGUUCUUUUUGCCUCUUUUACCCUCUCUGUAUGCUCCAUGUUUGCCCACAAAUGACCUGGGAUCCAGCUGGUACUGGGUGUUCCAUAUCACUCUCCUGUGCUGUUCUGUGUGGAGCAACUCUGUCAAACUCCCUGUCCUCCAUUCUUCACAACUAUUUAAAAAAAAAAAAGGAAAAAAAAAAGUAUUUUGUUCUCAGAUGUCUGAAUAUCCUGUGCCAGUCCGGUCCUCUGCCAGUGAAUGCAAAGAAAAGGAACUGUUUACACAGUAAGGGAAGGCAAAAAAAACUCCCUCCUUUUCAUCAUUCUUCUCCUUCCUUGUUAAGUGGAGAUGGUUUCAGUGCAGAAAACUGUCAGGCUGACAUGUGUGAGGCUUGCUGCCCUCUCCUGGCAUCACCGGGUGCCAUGUGUAAAGAUCUGAUGGCUGCCCUUCAGACCGAAGUAAUUCCCCUGUGGAGAGAUGAAGUCCUGCAGGAAUGGAGAGAAGAAGCUGCUUUACAGAUGAAAUUUACAUUACAUUUACAUUACAUUUACAUUAUUCACAUUUCACAACAGCGGUGUUUUGAUGAACCAGAUCAGUUCAACCAGGCACAGCUUUCAAAUCAGCAGGGACUCGAGAAACCCUCAGGAACCCGCGCUGCUACCAAGAAAGAUUGCAGCGUGCAAAGGCACCAGCACUGAUCACGUUCUCUGAAUCUGCAGAUGAUCCCCUGCAGCUCUGCCACUGUGCCAGAUGGACUGGGAGCACCCUCAUGGUUGUCCAUGAUGGCAGGAGGUGGCACCACGGCCCACCUGAGCACCCCAGGAACAGGUGGGAAGAUGCAGCCAGGCUCCGAUGCUCUGAAUGGACUUGAGUUGUCUGAAUGGAUUUCAGUUCAGCUCCAGCAUCUGCUGGCUAUUUAAACCCACAUUCUUACCCUUUAAGGUGACUGCCCCGGGAGGUACCCACCUUGUAGAAAGAAUUUUACCCCUGAUAGCCACUGCUGCUCAGCUCGUUGGCUCAGUGUGCAUCUAUUAAAGGCAGCAGCUCUCCACAGCGGGAAUUCAGCUUGAGGGAUGCAAAGUGAUCUAACCUCGUGGGCCCAAUGUUGAGGACUGCUAUUGGCAGCUGCUUCUCUCUGGCUGCCAGCGCAAACCUGUAACCAGAGUACACCUGCAGGAACACCACAAGACAGAGUUAUCGGCAGCACAGGCAAAGAACAGUGACAGAAAGUGAAACAGAUGAUGCUUGGCUGGGAAAUGGGGCUGUAUAUGUAUGCUGUGUUAUGCAGCUGCGCUUAAUUCAGGUAGGGGGUUUCUCCAUUCAGAAAAGGACAAUUUUUAACCUCUCACCAGAGAAAAGUUUUCAGUUUUGGAGAAAAUACAUCAAAGGGAAAGUUCUUGUCUUUCACUAAUUCUCUGCAGCAGUUUUUGCUACUUAUUAUAGGUCCUUAAACGAUUCUGCUUUGGUGGUUCUCACAUGGCCCAGCUUAGGUGCUACAAGAAUGAACCUAAGGCAUUUCAAUCAUUCCUGUAUGAAGGAUUAUGAGCUCAAAAAGGGCGAGCUCAAGGAAUUUAUCUCCAGUAUCCUGAAGAAGCAAAGAGAAGAGCAAUCAGGCCUUUGGUUUAUGCCUUUCUGGAAGGUGUUAAAGUUGUUUUUCUUAAUGUAAUAGAACUUGUUCUUGGAAAAUUGCUUAUUAAUUCUCCAAGCUUCCACAGGUUCAACAGCAGGGUUUUCUAGACCACCUUACCUUGCACUUGUAAGAUAAUGGCUAAUAGAGAAAACACGCUGUGAUACAACGUGCAGCAAGCGGAGGCUUUUCUGCUCUCUUCCUCAGAAGUUUAACUAGGAAUUAGAGGUCCUAAAAUCCAAAUCCCAACAAACAGUAAUAAUUACUGAGAAGCUGAAGUGGCUGUGGUGAUCUGCCAGCAAGCAGCCGUCCUCAGCUAUGGGACCAAGGGCUGCUGCAGACAGCAGUACAGAAACAGGAAGACUUCGCUACCUGCAUAGAGGAUCCUGCCACCAGCAUGGAGUCUGACUCUGCCAGCCGUUGGUGCACAAAAUCCACCUUUUCCUGGCUCACUGUGUCUCCAAAGAACGUCACAUCAGGCUUCAGGAUUCCACCACACUUCCUGCAAGCUGGGACUUGGAAAUUGCGCACCUGCUCGUCCGUGAGGAAGACAUCCCCAUCUGGAGCCACACCAAGGGCUUCAGCUUUCCAGCUAGGGUUCAGAGCUUCAAAGUGCUCCUGAAGCUCAGAGCGUGAGGUUUGAUCACCACAGGUCAGGCAGAAAACCCUGAAAUGCAGAGCAAAGCCUGAACAGAGACCUUUACAUCAGCUGAAGCCCUGGAGCCAUAACUUGUUCUUUACAAGGCCUGGGCAGUCUGUUUCCAUUACAUUUAUUUACUGCGUAGUGCAGGUGAGAGGUAGAUUGUGUUUUUGUAGUGGAAAUUCCCAGUAUUUCUGUAUGUAGCAUAGGAAAUAAGUUGCCUUUCACAAAGAAAGUUGCUGAACAGAGUAAAGUUGAGAUUGGGGCAUUCCAACCUAGGUAAAAUUGGCAUGGGCACUAGGUAAGGUAAUCGUAUAGGGUAGGGAGAGUCUGGUACAGGACAGAACAAGCGUGCAGAUAGUUGAAAAUGUUGUCCUCCUAUUGCCAUAAAAAGUACAGAACAUACCCAAAGACAGUGGGUUGGUAACAGACAUUGUGUGGAAGUGUAAUGUAGCAACAGUGCUGGAAGAUUGUGAGCCUGAGACGCUGAACCAGUUGUGCCAGGAGAGGCUUUACCUGCAUUGGACCCAGGGUAUCUAACAGUGGAUUUUACUGACCAGUUGCACAAUUUCUGCCUUGUCAGUAGGGGUGUGUGCCCAUUACUGCAAUAAUGAAUAAACUGCUCU